rnacentral:lncRNA from 1 species
UUUUUAUUAAAUAGGCCAUUUUGGAGCUAACUAAGCUAAUUAUGUUAUUUCGUAGGAUAAUUAGCCAAUUUAGCCUUUCUUGGAUGAGUCUAAGCUACGUAGAAGAAGAGAUAGAGAAGAAGUAAAAUAAGGAGGAGGAGGAGGAGGAGGAGAAGAAGAAGAAAGAAGAGGAGAAGAAGAAGAAAAGAAGAAGGAGAAGGAGA